rnacentral:snRNA from 1 species
AUAAUUUUAACAUUAGCUUAAUAAUAAAAUUUUUAAAUUUGUUCUUAUCAGUUUAAUAGCUGAUAUGUCCUUUAUUUGAGGACUGUAUAUUAAGUUGAUUUUUGAAACUGGGGGUGGAAUAGGAGCUUGCUCUGUCCACACCAUGCAUUGACCUGGUAUUGCAGUGCCUCUGGGAACAGUGCAUCUCCU